CUUUCUCUCCAAUAACAAACUUCAGCGUUUGCCAAAGUUCAACAAUCUCUCUGAGAUAGAAACAUUAUACAUGGAGAAAAACAGCCUCGUAACCCUGUCACCAGAUCAGUUCCAAGGCCUGUCCAAAUUGAAAGACCUGGCUGUUUAUGAGAACAAUAUUCAGUACCUGCCGCCUGGAGUUUUUAAAGGCUUAACAAACAUACAGUCU